rnacentral:misc_RNA from 1 species
CACAUGACUACAAAAUGGCGACGCUAGACAUCAAAUUGAAAAAGGCAAAUAAAGUUUACAGAGAAGGGGAACUAGUGAAGGGGGCAAUAUGUGUUGAUGCAGGAAAAAGUGAGAUAGCACAUCAAGGCAUCACCUUGGUGAUGGAGGGAUCAGUAAACUUGCAGCUCAGUGCCAAGAGUGUAGGACUCUUUGAGGCAUUCUACAGUUCACUGAAGCCUCUUCAGCUGAUAAAUUAUUCCUUGGAUAUAGCUAAGCCUGGAAAACUUCCUAGUGGUAGAACCGAAAUUCCCUUUGAAAUUCCAUUAAAAGCAAAGGGUAACAAGGAACUAUAUGAAACUUACCAUGGAGUGUUUGUAAACAUACAGUACUCGCUGAAAGUUGAUAUGAAGAGGCCCCUUCUUGCAAAAGAUCUACAGAAAACCUGUGAAUUUAUUGUAGAAUAUUCGGACAAGGAUAAAGCAGAGAAGGCAAAACCCAAGCCUGUUCAGUUUACCAUAUCCCCCGAGACGUUAACAAAUGUAAAAGAAAAGCAGAACGUGCCAAAGUUCAAAGUCAAGGGGAAAUUGGAGUCAGCUGUUUUAUGCAUCACGAAACCACUCAAAGGGGAGGUAAGAUUAUCUGAGAAUUUAGUUUUAGUGUUAAUAAAAUUAUGAUUUUAUCUUUCAGUCCAUGUUCUAAUAUAACAUGAUCAUGCAUUUAUUCCAUUAUAUGAUAAAUUUGUAUUAUAGACUUAAUUUGCAGUAAUUAAAGUUGUGACCCCCCACCUUUUUUGGAAACUUUAGACAAUUGAUGUUACGUACAAGCCUUUCUUUUCAUUCUCUGUACUGCCUGUUAUACAAAGUAUAUGAUGGUAUGAAAGAGGAAUCUCUAAUUAGAAGAAACAUCAAGUGUCUAUACAUGUACAUAUAGUGUGUAUAUACAUGCAAUGUAAAUAAUGUUAAUGACACCUGCAUGUAUUUAUAAUGAUGGAUGUACAGGUAUUUUGCAGUAAACAUUCCAGCAAACUCACUUAGAAAUGAAUAUAUCUUUCUAUAUAUGCUUAUAACCAAUCAUAAUUGGUUGUCGUUUACAUUUUCCUUUAAGCUUGUUUUACUGUAAAUUAGUCAUAGUCACCAAUGCAGUUACCACAUUUUUGCUGUUUCAAAAAAAUGUACAAGUACUUGCAAGAAUAUGAAAACACCUAUUUUACACCAAGUUUUAUUGACAGCUGAUGGUAGAGCAGUGUGACACACAGAUCAAGUCCAUAGAGAUUCAAUUAGUGCGGGUAGAAACAUGUGGAUGUGCUGAGGGAUAUGCUAAAGACGCCACAGAGAUACAGAACAUACAGAUAGCUGAUGGUGAUGUGUGCAGGGGAAUCUCUAUACCCAUCUUCAUGAUCUUCCCUCGUCUCUUUACGUGUCCGACACUUUCAACCAAUAAUUUCAAAGUUGAUUUUGAAAUCAACAUAGUAAUUGUGUUUCAAGACAAUCAUUUGGUGACAGAAAACUUUCCUAUCAAGCUGACAAGGUUUUAGAGAGCUAGGGUAGAAACCUAGAGAUAUAUGGCCUCACAAACAGGAAUAUAUGAUAUUGUACAGCAACAGGAUGACCUGGAUUUCACUUCCAUACAUUCAGAACAGCUCAUUCAUAAAAAAAAGUAUCAUUUAAGGUACCUGACU